AUGACCCAAUCGCGUCGUCCACUUAUCUCUUUGAUGCUGUUGGUCUCUUGGGAAAUUUAGAAGGAACGAAACGCCCGGGUUUUUCGUAUCACCGCGGUUCCGUUGGGAGUGUUGGUCGCCAAGAUAAAGGAGCAAUGUUCACUUUGGAGCCUGGCGGGCGCAAAUCAUUUGUGUAGUAUAAUGCCGCGAGAGUAG
rnacentral:rRNA from 1 species